rnacentral:rRNA from 1 species
GACAGAGGGUGCAAACGUUGCUCGGAAUUACUGGGCGUAAAGCGCGUGUAGGCGGAUUGGUGUGUCGGAUGUGAAAUCCCCAGGCUCAACCUGGGAACUGCAUUCGAAACUGCCAGUCUUGAGUGGUGGAGAGGGAAGUGGAAUUCCUGGUGUAGAGGUGAAAUUCGUAGAUAUCAGGAGGAACACCAGUGGCGAAGGCGGCUUCCUGGACACCAACUGACGCUGAGACGCGAAAGCGUGGGGAGCAAACAGG